GCUGCCAUGAAAAGAAGAACUCUGCAGUUAUGAACAGGAAGAGGCAGUCUGUAAAACUGAAGGUGGAGGAGAGGUCUUUUCACUCCCGUUAACUUUCAGCCUAUACUAAGGCUCAGCUCUAUCUGCUUGUUCCCUUGACCACCCUGCAACCAGAUGACCACCGAUAGCAGCGCAGAAGAGGGAGCAGAUGAAAUACAACAGUUUAGUGCUUCUGUGCAGCAUUCCUGGUGCAGAGCGGUUGGCAUGUCCCCUGCAGAGGGGACUGAUUGAUCACUGCGUAGCCACAUAUAUAACCUGUUGAGUGAUCCCUCACAAUAAGAGGCACUUUGCAGAAGUUAUUACUCCUGUCGUACCAUUACUUCACUCCUUUGGAACAGGGCCAUUCCCCCCCGACUAAAUAUCAGCAUUCCCGACUAGACAAAUCGUGGUGCAGAUACUCCCCGGGUGAGUCACCAGGCUGCCGCAAUAGGACGGCGGCUCAUCCACAGAUAAGGGGCCCGUAACUCAUGCAGUGUGUCCAGUCAACACUGACUCAGAAACAGGAAUACCCAGGUUGUUCUUGAGUCAGCAUCGGUACGACUCUGUCACUAGGCUGCAUUGGCUUGCCCAGCAUCUUCAUAUAUAAUGA
rnacentral:lncRNA from 1 species